AGGAAGGAGAUCGGAGCAUCCAUUAAUGGCGAAGAGGAUAAGGUUUGAAUCAGUGAUUUUACUGAUUUUGUCACUCUCGGCGGCGUCUGUGGCGAUUGCAGAGAGGAGAGUGUCACUGUUGAAUGAUUAUGAUAAAUCGAUUUUCAAGUCAUCGUUUCGUCGAAUUUUUGAUACCUCGAAGUACGGCAUAUUGCAGCUUCAAAAUGGCUUGGCUCGAACGCCUCAGAUGGGAUGGAAU
rnacentral:misc_RNA from 1 species